AGCGAACGCUGGCGGCAGGCCUAACACAUGCAAGUCGAACGAACUCUUCGGAGUUAGUGGCGGACGGGUGAGUAACGCGUGGGAACGUGCCUUUUGGUUCGGAAUAACUCAGGGAAACUUGUGCUAAUACCGAAUGUGCCCUUCGGGGGAAAGAUUUAUCGCCAUUAGAGCGGCCCGCGUCUGAUUAGCUAGUUGGUGAGGUAACGGCUCACCAAGGCGACGAUCAGUAGCUGGUCUGAGAGGAUGACCAGCCACACUGGGACUGAGACACGGCCCAGACUCCUACGGGAGGCAGCAGUGGGGAAUCUUGCGCAAUGGGCGAAAGCCUGACGCAGCCAUGCCGCGUGAAUGAUGAAGGUCUUAGGAUUGUAAAAUUCUUUCACCGGGGACGAUAAUGACGGUACCCGGAGAAGAAGCCCCGGCUAACUUCGUG
rnacentral:rRNA from 1 species